GAUGAACGCUGGCGGCGUGCCUAAUACAUGCAAGUCGAGCGAACAGACGAGAAGCUUGCUUCUCUGAUGUUAGCGGCGGACGGGUGAGUAACACGUGGAUAACCUACCUAUAAGACUGGGAUAACUUCGGGAAACCGGAGCUAAUACCGGAUAAUAUUUUGAACCGCAUGGUUCAAAAGUGAAAGACGGUUUUGCUGUCACUUAUAGAUGGAUCCGCGCCGCAUUAGCUAGUUGGUAAGGUAACGGCUUACCAAGGCAACGAUGCAUAGCCGACCUGAGAGGGUGAUCGGCCACACUGGAACUGAGACACGGUCCAGACUCCUACGGGAGGCAGCAGUAGGGAAUCUUCCGCAAUGGGCGAAAGCCUGACGGAGCAACGCCGCGUGAGUGAUGAAGGUCUUCGGAUCGUAAAACUCUGUUAUUAGGGAAGAACAAAUGUGUAAGUAACUAUGCACAUCUUGACGGUACCUAAUCAGAAAGCCACGGCUAACUACGUG
rnacentral:rRNA from 1 species